GAGAAAGAACGAAUCAAGCUUGUUCCACAAAAGCCACAUAGUAUAUCUAUUAACUUACAUGAAUUUUCAAUGUUUGUUGCCACAGAAUUCCCCAUGUUUGUUGCCACAUGGCAAGUUUUUCUUCACCCUCACUAGAAUGUGACUCUUCUUCUUCCUCUCACUAAACUUUCAAUGUACAUUUUAACGGUUUCACUAACAAAACUUUCAAUUAAUCUAUAUAUCCUCUAUUAAUCCCCCGUAUUGGUCAUCCACGUGUCAUCUUACUUUUAAUCCUCUAUUAAUCUCCGUAUGGGUCCCACCUGCUACCCCCGCCGGUUCGAUCCUGCUGCCCCGUCGGUUCGAUCCCUGCUACCCCCACCGCUUCGAUCCCUGCUACCCCCGCCUUUUCGAUAGCUCCUAUUACUCUUUUCACCGCUUCGAUCCCGUCGGUUGCUCCCCCUAUCUCUCCUCUCCUCUCUUCUCCACCCCUUUCCUUCGAUCCCCUUCGUCCCCUCGACCUCUCCCCUCCCUCGAAGCCCUAGCUUUCUCGAUCGUGGGGGGUGGGGUGCGGCCAUGAAUCUUGCGGGGCUCAGAUCAGUGGAGAACGCCCACGACGAGUCGAUCUGGGCGGCGACGUGAGUCCCUGCCACCGACUCCCGCCCCGCGCUCCUCCUCACGGGCUCCCUCGACGAGACCAUGAGGCUCUGGCGCCCCGACGAGCUCGCCGCGGCGGCGCCGCCCUCACGCGGCCACGCCCUCGGUGGCGUCGCUGCCGCCGCCCACCCCUCCGGCUCCCUCGCCGCCGCGGCCUCCCUCGACAGCUCCGUCCGCGUCUUCGACGUCGACUCCAAUGCCUCCGUCCCCUCCCUCGACGCCCCCCCCCCUCCUCUCCCUCCUCCGAGGUCUGGGGCUUGUAGUUCGACCCCAAGGUACAAUAAGAGGAUAGUUUUUUCUAUAAUAACAUAGUAUCAGAGCUAAAUCUAAGAACAUUCGGUCAAAUACACCUUUUGAGCNAGGAGGAGGAAGGAAAGGGUCGGAGGAUUCUUGCUCUUCCGCCUUCGCCAUUUGCGAGUAUGAGUCUCGCACGCGCGAUUGCUUCCCCCGUCGGUUGGGUUUGCCGGGAGGCUGUUUUCCCUUGUUUGCUUUUUCUAAUAUUUUUCUAAAAUUAAUUUUAAUUUAUUUUUAUAUUUAUAUUUUAUAAUAAAACAUUAUUAUUAUAAUAAAGUAUUUAUAAAAAGAAGCGGUGAAAAGUGAAAAGUGUUGCGUCGUACUGGCACAGUAGACACUGUCCAAAUGAUGGUACCAUUGUGAACCCACAGGGCGCACAGAGGUACGGGGUCCGGAUGGUACGAUAUCGAACGACGGGCCCGUAAGGCGUGGCCCCACAAUGCAGCUGUUCACAAAUGAACGGUGCCAUGCCGGGCCAUGGGCUGGCUGGGCACUCAGUCCGUGUCGGCCCCUAACCAUAGCGGGCCGGACUGGACUAUGGGUCGGCUGGUCGAUUUUUAAACCCCGACAUUAAAAUAUAGUCGCCUAAUAAUAAUUGAUUAUCGCUCAUUACUAAUCCACACGUUGUGGGAGGUAGGUACUAUUAAAGUAAGAAUUUAUAGGUAUCGUUUGGUUUGGAGAUAAGCAAAAAAAUAAUUAUUUCAGAAAUAGAUAUAAAUUGAGGUAUAAAUAGGGAUUAAAUCAAUUUUACAUUUGGAUGAAAUUGAGUUACUCCUAGGGAUAAAAAAAUAACGUUGGAUUAGGUAAGAUGGAAUAAGAAGGAUAGUGAGUUUUUAUAAAUAAAAAAUAAUGAUAGUACCCUCUUAUUAUGUUCGAAUUUUAAUUUGUAAAAUUUUAUAUUUAUAUAAUUUAAUUUUAAUUCAAUUUAUAAUUUUAAUUAAGUUUGAAAUUAAGUAUUAGAAUAGCACUAUUCCAAUACUUAAUUUCAAACUUAAUUAAAAUUAUAAAUUAUAAAUUAUAAAUUAUAAAUUAUAAAUUAUAAAUUAUAAAUUAUAAAUUAUAAAUUAUAAAUUAUAAAUUAUAAAUUAUAAAUUAUAAAUUAUAAAUUAUAAAUUAUAAAUUAUAAAUUAUAAAUUAUAAAUUAUAAAUUAUAAAUUAUAAAUUAUAAAUUAUAAAUUAUAAAUUAUAAAUUAUAAAUUAUAAAUUAUAAAUUAUAAAUUAUAAAUUAUAAAUUAUAAAUUAUAAAUUAUAAAUUAUAAAUUAUAAAUUAUAAAUUAUAAAUUAUAAAUUAUAAAUUAUAAAUUAUAAAUUAUAAAUUAUAAAUUAUAAAUUAUAAAUUAUAAAUUAUAAAUUAUAAAUUAUAAAUUAUAAAUUAUAAAUUAUGUAUUAUAAUAUAUAACAUAUAAUAGUUAUAUAAUUUAGUUUUAAUUUAAUUUAUAAUUUUAAUUAAGUUUGAAAUUAAGUAUUGGAAUAAUACUAUUUCACCAAAAUGGUGGAAUAGCAAAUUCUUUGCUAUUCCGGGAUAACGGAAAAUAGCAAGGUUUAACCGGGAUAAAAUAUUUCUGUAAAAUAUUAUCCCGUUUGGCGGAAUAGCGGGGAUAAUUUUCGUUAUCCCCGCUUAUCCCACAAACCAAACUAGGCCAUAGAGAAUAAAAUCACGUAUAGAAAAUAGCAAAUAGAGGCGGUAUUAUAAACAAACACUUCCAGAAAAACUAAAAUAUGAUGUCCAUGAUCAAUCUUUCUAAUUUCUAAGAGAAAGAACGAAUCAAGCUUGUUCCACAAAAGCCACAUAGUAUAUCUAUUAACUUACAUGAAUUUUCAAUGUUUGUUGCCACAGAAUUCCCCAUGUUUGUUGCCACAUGGCAAGUUUUUCUUCACCCUCACUAGAAUGUGACUCUUCUUCUUCCUCUCACUAAACUUUCAAUGUACAUUUUAACGGUUUCACUAACAAAACUUUCAAUUAAUCUAUAUAUCCUCUAUUAAUCCCCCGUAUUGGUUAUCCACGUGUCAUCUUACUUUUAAUCCUCUAUUAAUCUCCGUAUGGGUCCCACCUGCUACCCCCGCCGGUUCGAUCCUGCUGCCCCGUCGGUUCGAUCCCUGCUACCCCCACCGCUUCGAUCCCU
rnacentral:lncRNA from 1 species